rnacentral:rRNA from 1 species
CAGGCUUAACACAUGCAAGUCGAGGGGCAUCAGGAAGAAAGCUUGCUUUCUUUGCUGGCGACCGGCGCACGGGUGAGUAACACGUAUCCAACCUGCCCUUUACUCGGGGAUAGCCUUUCGAAAGAAAGAUUAAUACCCGAUAGCAUAAUGAUUCCGCAUGGUUUCAUUAUUAAAGGAUUCCGGUAGAGGAUGGGGAUGCGUUCCAUUAGGUUGUUGGUGAGGUAACGGCUCACCAAGCCUUCGAUGGAUAGGGGUUCUGAGAGGAAGGUCCCCCACAUUGGAACUGAGACACGGUCCAAACUCCUACGGGAGGCAGCAGUGAGGAAUAUUGGUCAAUGGGCGCUAGCCUGAACCAGCCAAGUAGCGUGAAGGAUGAAGGCUCUAUGGGUCGUAAACUUCUUUUAUAUAAGAAUAAAGUGCAGUAUGUAUACUGUUUUGUAUGUAUUAUAUGAAUAAGGAUCGGCUAACUCCGUGCCAGCAGCCGCGGUAAUACGGAGGAUCCGAGCGUUAUCCGGAUUUAUUGGGUUUAAAGGGAGCGUAGGUGGACUGGUAAGUCAGUUGUGAAAGUUUGCGGCUCAACCGUAAAAUUGCAGUUGAUACUGUCAGUCUUGAGUACAGUAGAGGUGGGCGGAAUUCGUGGUGUAGCGGUGAAAUGCUUAGAUAUCACGAAGAACUCCGAUUGCGAAGGCAGCUCACUGGACUGCAACUGACACUGAUGCUCGAAAGUGUGGGUAUCAAACAGGAUUAGAUACCCUGGUAGUCCACACAGUAAACGAUGAAUACUCGCUGUUUGCGAUAUACAGUAAGCGGCCAAGCGAAAGCAUUAAGUAUUCCACCUGGGGAGUACGCCGGCAACGGUGAAACUCAAAGGAAUUGACGGGGGCCCGCACAAGCGGAGGAACAUGUGGUUUAAUUCGAUGAUACGCGAGGAACCUUACCCGGGCUUAAAUUGCAGUGGAAUGAUGUGGAAACAUGUCAGUGAGCAAUCACCGCUGUGAAGGUGCUGCAUGGUUGUCGUCAGCUCGUGCCGUGAGGUGUCGGCUUAAGUGCCAUAACGAGCGCAACCCUUAUCUUUAGUUACUAACAGGUUAUGCUGAGGACUCUAGAGAGACUGCCGUCGUAAGAUGUGAGGAAGGUGGGGAUGACGUCAAAUCAGCACGGCCCUUACGUCCGGGGCUACACACGUGUUACAAUGGGGGGUACAGAAGGCAGCUAGCGGGUGACCGUAUGCUAAUCCCAAAAUCCUCUCUCAGUUCGGAUCGAAGUCUGCAACCCGACUUCGUGAAGCUGGAUUCGCUAGUAAUCGCGCAUCAGCCACGGCGCGGUGAAUACGUUCCCGGGCCUUGUACACACCGCCCGUCAAGCCAUGGGAGCCGGGGGUACCUGAAGUACGUAACCGCAAGGAUCGUCCUAGGGUAAAACUGGUGACUGGGGC